rnacentral:lncRNA from 1 species
GGGCAGGGGGGUGAGGAUGCGGCUGCUGCCGGCGGCGCUGGCCAUGGCCCUGCUCAUGGGCAACUUGGUGCCGGGUGGUGGUCUGUCGCUGGAGAGCCUGCUGACCAACAUGAGGUGCAAGUGUAUCAAAUGGACUGCCCAGGUCAUCAACCUGGGGCUGAUCCUCGCCAUCGAUGUCACCCCACCGGGUAUUCACUGCAGGAGGAAGGAGAUCAUUCUUACCCUGAAGAAAAACAAGAAGGUUUGCGUGGCCCCCGAGGCGCCCUGGAUCCAGCUGCUCAUCUUCAAGCUGACACAGAGGAACGUCACCAAGAAAGCAGGAGCGGUGCGGCCGCGGCGGGAAGCGGAGCGGUGGUGCAGAGUCCCUGCCCCAUCCCUCCCUGUGUCUGAAUACAGUGACCAGUAACCAGCUGGGGUUCGUGGCACAACUCCAGCACUUCUGCUCCUGGGGUUUUGGUGGGGGGCAGGAGCCUUCCCCUGCUCCCUCCUCCAGAAGAAAGGCUUUCCACUUGGGUGCCCACUGUCACCCUCCAUUUCGGGUGCUUGCGCUUUUCCUGUGCACGAUGGCAUGCCAUCAAUAAAUGGAUGAACG